rnacentral:rRNA from 1 species
CCUGCUCAAUGAACCAAUUCAAUAGCCGCUUAUAACGUGCUAAGGUAGCAUAAUCACUUGUCUUUUAAUUUGAGAAUAGAAUGAAGGGGUAAACGAGUCUAAAACUUUAUUUAAAAAUCUUUAAAAAAUUUAUAUUAAAGUAAAAAAGCUUUAAUACUAAUAAAAGACGACAAGACCCUUAGAACUUCACUAAAAGUUCAACUGGGGUGGUAAAGUUAUAAAAACUAAUUAUUUUUCAUAAAAAACUCAUUAUAAUACAAAGUUACCUUAGGGAUAACAGCAUAAUUAAAUUUUAAAGAUCUUAUUUAAAAUGUAGAUUAUGACCUCGAUGUUGAAUUAUUAUACUAAAAAUAGAAAUUUAUUUCUAAGUAAGUCUGUUCGACUUUUAAAAAAAUACAU